UCUUUAGUAGCUCAGCCGGUAGAGCAAGUGGCUGUUAACCACCUGGACGUUGGUUCAACUCCAACCUAAAGAG
rnacentral:tRNA from 1 species